rnacentral:lncRNA from 1 species
GGGGAGAGAAUUGAAAGUUGGCUGAAAAUGGGAAAGAUCCAGGGUGGUAAUGCUUCGUCGUCAGGAUCGAAGAAGCCAUUCGGGAAUGGUCAGCGCAAGAAUGAAGGUGAAUCGAGUGCUGUGUAUGCCCAGAGAGGAUACGGUAGGGAUCGUUACUACCAGCACACUGCUGCUGUAACCACCCCUGCUGGUAAUCAGUCAGUCCGACAGCAACGUCAGCCACCUCAACAGAGAGC